UACAGAGGUCCCAAGCGUUGUUCGGAUUCAUUGGGCGUAAAGGGUGUGUAGGUGGCGCCGUAAGUCGGGUGUGAAAUUUCGGAGCUUAACUCCGAAACUGCAUUCGAUACUGCGGUGCUUGAGGACUGGAGAGGAGACUGGAAUUCAUGUGGAGCGGUAAAAUGCGUAGAUAUAUGAAAGAACAUCAAUAUGGCGAAGGCAGUUAACUAUUCUGUUACUGACAUUGAGGCAUGAAAGCGUGGGGAGCAAAACGG
rnacentral:rRNA from 1 species